rnacentral:rRNA from 1 species
UACGUAGGGGGCAAGCGUUGUCCGGAUUUAUUGGGCGUAAAGAGCGUGUAGGCGGCCAGGUAGGUCAGCUGUGAAAACUCGAGGCUCAACCUCGAGACGUCGGUUGAAACCAUCUGGCUAGAGUCCGGAAGAGGAGAGUGGAAUUCCCGGUGUAGCGGGUGAAAUGCGCAGAUAUCGGGAAGAACACCCGUGGCGAAGGCGGCUCUCUGGGACGGUACUGA